GUUGAAACGUAGCUUAAGAACAGUUAGUGUUCCUCUGUUAUAAAGUUGAUUAAGAAGUCAAGGCCGUAUGGCAAGAAACUGAGACUUGGAUGAAAGCCAUCUUGAUGAUUAUCUAAUCAAUAUCAAAAGCUGCUGUAAUUCAUCCAAUUUCAUACAAGGACUACAAGAGAUGGAGUUAAAAUCAGAGAAGAAAAACAUCACUUCCCAGAAUUUGGAGCCCUAAUGGUAUCAAUCAAUGGGCUGUGUUCAGAUAUUUUCACAAUAAUUGAUGU